UUUGGCCGCACAUAUACUAAAAAAAACCUGGAACUAUACAAAGCCAAAUAGCAUGGUCCCUAUGCAAGGAUGACACCCAAAUUUGUGAAGCAUUUUAGAUAUCA